CCCUUAGAUGUUCUGGGCUGCACGCGCGCUACACUGAAGCGUUCAACGAGUAUUCACCUUGCCCGGGAGGGUUGGGUAAUCUUUUGAAAACGCUUCGUGAUGGGGAUAGAUUAUUGCAAUUAUUAAUCUUCAACGAGGAAUUCCUAGUAAACGCAAGUCAUCAGCUUGCAUUGAUUACGUCCCUGCCCUUUGUACACACCGCCCGUCGCACCUACCGAUUGAAUGGUCCGGUGAAAUUCUCGGACGCGGACUUGCGAUGUUAAUUCGGAGCUUGACUGUGAAAGUUAAUUAAACCUUACCAUUUAGAGGAAGGUGAAGUCGUAACA
rnacentral:rRNA from 1 species